CAGGGAACUGAAACAUCUAAGUACCUGGAGGAAGAGAAAGAAAAAUCGAUUUCCUGAGUAGCGGCGAGCGAAACGGAAAGAGCCCAAACCAAGAAGCUUGCUUCUUGGGGUUGUAGGACACUCUAUACGGAGUUACAAAAGAAAGUUAUAAAUGAAGCGGUCUGGAAAGGCCCGCCAAAGACGGUAACAGCCCGGUAGUUGAAAUAGCUUUCCCUCCAGAGUGGAUCCUGAGUACGGCGGAACACGUGAAAUUCCGUCGGAAUCCGGGAGGACCAUCUCCCAAGGCUAAAUACUCCCUAGUGACCGAUAGUGAACCAGUACCGUGAGGGAAAG
rnacentral:rRNA from 1 species